ACCUCUUGGAUACUAACCAUUAAUUCUAUUGUUUUUCUUUUACGUUGUAGGCAAUGGUCGGAAAAUAAGUGUGAAAUUCCAGAAAAGACCCUUUUACAAUUCCAGCAUAUCGUGUACGCACCCAUGGAAGACGGCAAGAUAGAAAGUGGCGUGCAUAGGGCUGGUAGAUAAGAUGUUAACUCUCUUCCUGAAUAAGGAGGCAGCAAUGGCGAAGGGGAUCAAUGCAAGGAGGACCCAUGUAUUUAAUUUAAAAUAGCAUUAAUGAUCGGAAUCAUCUAUACCAACGGGAAUGGAGUAAAAUUCCAUGAUCUAAAUAAUAAUCCUGGAAUACUACCGUACAAAUUAGAAAGGGACGUCGGAGAAAAAGAGCUCACAAACAAGACAGGGAAUCCUACCCCCAAAUCCCCCAAAGCCAGCAUGAACUUUUCAUCCAUCCAGGCGGAGGAGCUGCUAAGGUCACCAGCCGCCAGCAACUCAGAAGCUGAAGUAAGCGAAAACUCCUCGACCAGGGCAGAACCGAAAGGUUUUGACCAGGCGGGGAGAACGCUACCGAAGCCGAAAAAUUGCUGCGACUCAUGAAAAAAAAGAAGCAGGCAAAGAACCGCAACCGCACAAAGAGGCGGAAAGAGGAAAAACAGAGGAAGAAGGAGGAGCGAGAAGCCAACCAGGAGGGAUCAACAGUUCGUCCAGGACCAGCUUCUGCUUCUACAAAUCCUCUUGUAGGAGGCAGCUCUAAGGGCACUACCAAAGCCUCGAACAGCAUGCAACACUCGAGGAGUCGCCAGCUAGUAAAAGGGCGUGGACCAAGGGCAAAACAUGUGAGGCGAGAGGCAGAUAAGCUGAAGCCAAUCAUCCUGCCCACGGCACCCGCCGCUGUCAGGGAGGAGGACACCCAGCACCGGCGCCUCUAGCAAAAAGAGGCAAAUCAAAAAGGACACCCCACCCGACCGCCAACAUAAGAAGCCUAGGCAACGGGCAGGUCCAUCCCUCAAAAAGAUGUGCAGAC